GUCAGGCGGGGCCACCCGCCGAGUUUAAGCAUAUAAAUAAGCGGAGGAGAAGAAACUUACGAGGAUUCCCCUAGUAACGGCGAGCGAACCGGGAUCAGCCCAGCUUGAGAAUCGGGCGGCCGCGCCGUCCGAAUUGUAGUCUGGAGAAGCGUCCUCAGCGACGGACCGGGCCCAAGUCC
rnacentral:rRNA from 1 species